rnacentral:rRNA from 1 species
GCCAAGGAUUAAGCCAUGCAUGUGUAAGUAUAAAUAAUUUUACUUUGAAACUGCGAAUGGCUCAUUAUAUCAGUUAUAGUUUAUUAGAAAUAUUUUACUACUUGGAUAACCGUAGUAAUUCUAGGGCUAAUACAUGAGUAAAACCUCAACUUCGGAAGAGGUGUGUUUAUUAGUAUGAAAACCAUAUAUCUUCGGAUAUAAUAGUGAGUAAUAAUAACCUUUCAUAUCGUAUGUCGUAAGAUAACGAUAGUUCUUUCAAGUUUCUGCCCUAUCAGCUUUCGAUGGUAGUAUAUGGGACUACCAUGGCAGUAACGGGUAACGAAGAAUUUGGGUUCGAUUUCGGAGAGGGAGCCUGAGAGAUGGCUACCACAUCCAAGGAAGGCAGCAGGCGCGUAAAUUACCCAAUCCUGACAUAGGGAGGUAGUGACAAUAAAUCACAAUGCGGAACUUUUAGUUUUGCAAUUGGAUUGAGAACAAUGUACAAAUGUUAUCGAUAAACAAUUGGAGGGCAAGUCUGGUGCCAGCAGCCGCGGUAAUUCCAGCUCCAAUAGCGUAUAUUAACGUUGUUGCAGUUAAAAAAGCUCAA